UUUGUGAAAUUACAUUUAAGAUAUGAAUAUAUUUUUAAUUUAAGAUACACAUAUACAAUUAUUAAAUUGUCACCAUAUUUAAAACAAUAUCAUAAUUAUAAAAUUUUACUUCGGAACACAGCGCAUUUACUUAUUUAAUUAAAUCACAGCCUUUGCAAAGUCAUAUCACAAUUUUGUUUUUCAUUUUGAUUAAUUAUGCAGGCCUAAAAGCUUGUACUUUAUAAAUUAAUUUUAAUUCAAUCCCAAACUCUAAUAUUCAGUCAUAAAUCGUUGGGACAUACUGCACAUGCACACAAACAUUUCACAGACGUGAAGCGUCUCCGUGAAGGGUAACGGGGUCCCACACAUAUUUCCUUUCCAGAGGCAUUCAAGCAAUUGACCUCAAAAACAAAAGACACAUUAUCAGUCCCUCUGCCACCCCCUCACUAGCACACCUCUGCCCCUCCAUCGCACUCUCCGUCUCUUCAACGGGAAACUUUUUUUUUUCCACUUGCUGCCGUUCACAAACACCCUCUCCUUCCUCUAUAAAGUUAUUUGCGCCCUUUCUUCCUCUCAGUCUCAAAUAACAGACUCUUUCCUUUCUCUUUCUCUUGAGCAGUGUAAUUUCUGCGCCACAGCGUCACCAAACUAAUAUGCAAAAAUAGUUUAAUUUUCUGAAAAACAUAUGAGUGGUGUUUACCUGUGCAAAGCUCCGUGCCAUGACGCUGGGCGCGUUAAAGAGAGAUCACCCAAAAAUGAAAAUCUGCUGGUAAUUUACCAUCCAAGAUGUAGGUGACAGACUAAUAUUUUGGCAUCAUAAGACCUAUAUCUAUAUCAUCAGGAUUCAUGGGUAUUCAUUUUGUUUAUGCUUUUUUGGCUCUCAAAGUGAUGGUAGCCAUUGACUUGCAUUUUAUGAAUCAACAAGGACCACGCUUUUAGCUAAAAAUCUUCUUUACCAUUUUACAAAAAAAAAUAAAGGUCAGCUACACGUUAGUGACUCUGGACCACAAAACCAGUCUUAAGUCGCUGGGGUAUGUUUUUAGCUAUAGACAAAAAUAAAAAUUAAAAAACUUGUAUGGGUCAAAAUUAUAGAUUUUUCUUUUAUGCCAAGAAUCAUUAGGAUAUUAAGUAAAGAUCAUGUUCCAUGAAUAUACUUAUUUGGAAAUGACCUAUUAUAUAUAUAUAUAUUAAAACUUAAUUUUUGAUUAGUAAUAUACAUUGCUAAGAACUUUAUUAGCACUUUAGCAUUUAGAUUUAUUGCACCCUUAUAUUCCAGAUUUUAAAAUAGUUAUAUCUCAGCCAAAUAUUGUCAGAUCCUAACAAACCAUACAUCAAUGGAAAUAAUAUUUAUUAAUCUUUCAGAAUGUGUAUAAAUCUCAAUUUCCAAAAAUAUACACUUAAAACUUAAGGUUUUGUAGUCCAGGGUCACAUUAAAUGGCCUGAGGGUGAAUAUAUCAACAGCUAAAUUUAAAUUUUUUGGGUGAUCUAUCCCUUUAAAUCAGUUUACUCCAUUAACAAUUACUAUUUUAGCAUUCACAGUCACACAACAGACAAUAACAUACUGUUCAUUACAAACACAUGCUGCCAUUGUGUCUUCUGGCCCUUUAAAUGCUCAAGCGCUUUAAAAUUGGGUGAAUUCUGAUUGGCUGUUGUCGUUAAUCAUUCACCAACUGGUAAAAAUAACAAUAAAAGUGAAAAGUGAUUCCAGUGACUUUGUCUCUCUGUUGCGUUAUAGAUAUCCUGUAGUUGUGAUUUCAACUUCCCUUUUUUUAUAGAAUUAAAAUGAUUAUAAAAACUAUAUAGCUAUAGUUAUCAUUCUUGGUGUGAACUGGCAUUAACCAGAUUGUUGCUAUGCGGUCGCAAAGGUACUUUGAGUGUUUUUCACAUGUUUUUGUUUUGUUUUGUUUUGCUGUUAAGAGUGGUCUGAGUGGCUUUUAUGCAAUGCUGUGUAGUUACCAAGGUGUUCUGAGCUAUUUUUAAACAUUGUUGUGAUGUUACUUUAGAUGUUAAUGGUUUUUACUCCUUGUACAUUUGCUAAGGUGUUCAGGGUGUUUAUUUAUUUAUUGUUGUGUGGUUGCUAAGGUGUUCUGGCCAGUUGUAUAGUACUGUAUUUAUGUUUGCAGCACAAAUGGUACAGGGCAAGUUAUGCAUUAGUAUUUUUUGUUUUUGUUUUUUAUAGUUACAUUUAUUGGUAAAAUCGAUAACCCUUCCCCAAAUUCAGUCAGUUUUUAUAAUUUUUAGUCUACGCACCUGUAAAAUAAGUGUACUACAAUCGAGAAAAAAAUAAUAAUUACAAAAUGUACCUUUAAAUUGACAUUUGGGAGGAGUUACCACACACACAACCUGCUGGACACCAAUUAGUCAUUAACUAAAAAACACACAGUGUUCAUCACUCAUUAACUCCAGGAAAUUUUCUCAUGAUAAUGGAUCGCAAAAGCCUUUGUGCUCAUCUUCUAGCGUGGACAGGUCAGGUUGACUACCUCAACUACAAGCAUUAGCAUUAGAGGCUGACCAAUAUGUUUUGUAAUGGCUGGUGCCAAUGACAGUGAUGAUUAUACAUAUAGUCCCUUGUUAAAAAAAAGUCCUUAAAAUGAGUUUAUUUACACUAAGUGCAAAUAGCCCGCCUUGUUGGUAGAGGCUAUUUGCACUAACUCAUCCCACCAACGUGUGAUUGAGCAAAUCAACAUUACAGCAGACAAUCAACAGUGUAUAGUUCCAGUGGCGCAGAUGAUGGUAACACGUGUGCCGUACUCAUUUUGAUGCGAUCGACCCAGGUUUAAAUAUGCCUUUUGGAGAAUUGUUUUGCCCUUUUCAAAUUUCAAAUCACAUCAGAAAAGCAUUUAUUUUCAAUGAAAUUAAAUAAAAUAAUAAAAAAGUUGAAAAUAAAGUAUCGGGUAGGGUUAGGGUAGGUUUAGGGAGGGCUUUAUUGUCCCAAUAAGGUGGCAUCCAUGUCAUAAUUUGAAUUAAAAUGAAAUUUUGCACAAGCUAUGAUUGCAUACUUAAUGUACUACAAUAAUGAGGUGCAGAUUAUUGCCACUAUUUCCAAUAAGCAGUAGCCUAUAAAUAUUAUUAGUAUUUUAACAGUUUAAAUAUAAUCUAUGGCUAUUUGCACUUAGUGUAAAUAGCAUAUCACUAAAAAAUGCUGCUGUUUGCACUUAGUGUAAAUAGCAUCUAUCGCUAAAAAAAUGCUAUUUACCCUUAGUGUAAAUAGAAUCUAUUGCUAUUUACACAAAGUGCAAAUAGCCACUGCCUACUUUAAAACGAGAACUUAUUAUGGAAAUAAUUUACUUUAAAAGAUCAAACUUCAAUCCACUAAAAUAUUUAAUAAAUCUUGCAAUAGGUCAGUUGUAAUUUCAUGGGGUCUUUAUUUCUUGUUCAUAAAACAUUAAAAAGAUCCCCUCAAAAGAAAGUGCUCUCCAAAAUGAGAAUGUCCCUCCCAACCUUGCAAAAAUGAAUUAUAGUAAAAGUGUAGUAACCACAGUACUUUGCCAUAUUGGUUACCAGUUGUAAGAACAGAGUUUUACUAUGAAUACCAUGGUUAAAUUAUGGGUAGUGUAGCAAAACUAGAUGGUUAAUUUGUGGUCACCGUGGUUUAACUAUAACCAUGUUUUCUUUUCUUUUUUUGGUUGUAUUUGUAGCUUCUUCUGAAAAAUCAACUAUUACCACUUGCCACUUUGAUCCCAUUUGCACAGUCCAGAACAAAUCGGAAAGAGACUGAUCUGAGAAAACAAGAGCUCGAAAUGGGAGUUUGUCCCUCAUAAAUGGCAUUUGAAUUGAGAACAUGAAACUGACGUCAGCCUGAGAAACAUUCCAAAGAUUAAAGUUUGUGUUUGAAAGAAGCAAAAUUAAUGUCUGAGAUGAUUGAUUGUUGGGGGAGGGGGGGCACAUGUUUGAUGCUGAAGCACAUGUUUGAAGCUGGCAAAAGAGAGGACCACCAACAUACAAAGCCCAGACUACAUACUGUAGUUCACCCAAAAAUGAAAAUGUGCUGGCACCCUCGGGCCAUUCAAGAUGUAGGUGACUUUUUCUUCGAGAAGAUUUUUAGCUGAAACCAUGGUCUUUGGUGAUUCAGAAAAUGCAACUUGUGCAAGAAACAUUACAUUAUUUACAACAUUAUUACCUGGAAUCCAGAGCCUCAUGCAAACGGUCCAAAGUGAUAUAUGUUCCGUGAAUGAAUCAUUCUUUUGAAAGAGUUCUUUUUGGUGAAUGAGUGCAGACUGAACCCUCUGAAACAGUUUGAUGCUUAAACAGCACAGAUCUACAAGUUGCUAAAUCAAAACUCACUUUCGAGCAUCUGACAGUCACUCCAAAAUGAGCCAAAUUAAUGGCGUGUAUGAUCCUAUGAUGCUGGUUCCUGCCAGCUCACCCAGUGCUCCAGUUCCUCCAACAGUCGCUGAACCGAGAAAACAAUUCUGACUCAGAGCAAAGACAGUGAGCCGAUGAUAUGAGCAUACGUGAACGAACUAGUGAACUGAACCACUGACACGAACUGUCAGAAAGACAUUUGGUUUCUUGCACAGACUGAUCAUUUCGCUUCAUAAGACCUCCACAUUUCGUCAGCAGCCAUCUGUAUUAAUUUUGUGUUCCUUAAUGUGUUUUUUUUUUUCAUUCUCAAAAACACGCAGCCACUUUUACGAACCAUCAAAAAACACCUUUUCAGUUAAAUAUCUUUACUUUUCUGCUCAAGAAAAUAAGCCACCUACAUAUUUAGGGCUGAACGAUAUGGACAAAAUUUCAUAUCUCAAUUUUCAUGCCAGAUAUCUCGAUAUCGAUACGAUAUGACUACGUGUUCUUUUGCUAAGCACGACCUGCACAAGACUUCACUCUGGUUUACAUCAUCUUUUCUGAAUCCAAAAUACUUCCAAAUUAUGGAAGAUGAUUUAUGUUUUGGCACCAAGUCAGAUUCUGCACUGCCACCGGCCGUAUUAUCUCCCGCACUCAUUUCUUUGUUUCUAAUUUAUCCGCUGUCUCUGUACAGUUCAACAGCCACUUACUUUUAAGUAUUUCGGGAGAAGUGGAUGAAUUCACGUGUUGUAAACAUAGAGGUUGUAAAUCCAACAGAUCCGAUUCUCUGAAUUGCGUCUGCGGCACAAACUAACACGGUGGUGCCCAUCGCGCAAACAGCUCAACUAACGCGAUCGUUAUAAAGGUGUUUAAACAACAAUAUACUUCCACUUGCAUGUAUUUGACAAUCGGAAUAUCAGAUAUUUCAUGCCAUAACUAACACAUUUGUGAAUAUUCUGAAUAAAAAAGGAAAAAUUAUAUAAAAGCAGAUCAUUAUUCAUUCAGCGCUGUUGCUGCUGUGGUGUGUCACGUGACAAGCAAUGACGCGUCACCAUGGAAACGCCGCCCCCCCCUCUCACAAUAUAGUUCCUACGUCCCUAGUGUGUGCACGCUGGCUUUAGCGGUGCAGUCCAGGGCACUCGUAAAACUGAUGUUUGUUGUGACUGCCAGAGUUGUAUGCAGGGCGAGCGCGGAGAGGGGAAAUCUAUAUCGUCUAUAUCAUUUCUAUUUCAGCUUUUUUCGAUAUUAAUAUCUUGAAAAUUCAUAUCUAGAUAUAGAUAUGAUAACUAUAUAUCGUUCAGCCCUAUAUUGGACGGCCUGAGAAAUUUCAUUUUUGGGUGAACGAUCCCCAAAUUUGUACCAAGAAAUGAGCUAAAUUUGACAGAACCUCCCCAAAAGUCAUUUGUUUGCAAAUAAAGCAGAUUGUAAACAUUUUAAGAUGUCAUUGCUACAGAGUCAUUUGGUAAACUGUUCUCUCUACAUGAGUGAAUAUGGACGUUAACAGAAACAAACUAACUGGAUUCUGAAUAAAACCCUAAUGCUAACACUCUUACCCAUGUAGUUUUGAAAUCUAGAAGCAAGUCUCCAACAGACACGCACACACAACUUACACUGUUGCAUAUUUUUAGCAUGCUGAGGUAUAUUUAUAGCCCCAAAUGCUCAAAGGAGAGCAGGAGAAAAGUAAUAGGAAAAUAUCUAGGCCCUCUCCUAAGACACACACACACACACCUCUCGCCCUCUUAUACUUGCGUAAACACAUAAAUCUCUCACACACAUGCACACAGAGGCGUACUGUAGGCAAUACAGGGUCAAUACUGAGACCGAAGUGUGUGACAGGAGUUAAACGUUAACAACACACAAACAGACACACACACACACACAGUAAAGGCUUUAUGACAUUGGCCCCGGCUUAACAAACUACAUUUGAGUGCGGCGCCAGUGGAAAUGUGGGGAGGGGUGAAAGAAGAGAGAGAGAUGAAGAAUUAAAGGGUCUGAUGGCCGUCUGUGUCCCAGGCUGUCCACUUAGACUCUCUGGCAGACCAAAUUGUUUGUUUCCAAAACAACAAGCUCUUUGACUUUUGCAAGCUGCAACUUAACUUCAUCAAUGUUGCUGGCAGAUUUAAUUGAGCUGAGAAAAUGGUGCGAGAUGAGAGCUGUUCUCCAGUCGGAUGACACAUUUUUUGAAUUUGUAUAAUAUUGUCGAUCUGAAAUUAUAUUUGCAGCACAAUAUGACGCAUUUACAAGUGAAAUCUAAUGUUAAAUUAAAUUAAAUAAAAUGUAUGCAUUCAGCAGACGCUUUUAUCCAAAGCGACUUACAGUGCAUGCAGGCUAUAAAUUUGUACCUAUUAUGUAUUCCCGGGGAAUCGAACCCCCAACCUUGCGCUUGCUUGCUAAAGCAACGCUCUACCAGUUGAGCUACAGGAACACUAAUGUUAAUGUUAAGCAACAACAACAACAAAAAAUGUAGGACGGGACUUGAUUUUAACCAUCAGGAACUGAUUCGAUCAUGAAAAUGUUAUAAAAAUUUGCGGUCUUUUGCAAAUAAUAAUAAUAAAAAAUGUUUUAAAUAAAAAUAUGUCCUGAAAUAUACAUAUAUGUAUGAACAUGUAUAACUGAACAUUUUAAUAAGAGGUACAGCAGGCUAAUCAACUAGCAGUAUGCUAGUAUGCUGAGCAGUUAACUUACAAAUCGUAGAAAAAAAGAAAAUUGUGACAACAUAUAAUUAACGUAAUUUGUCAUAUAUAAUAGUAAAUAACUUUGGUUAUAUACUAUUAUAUGCAAAUGGCAUACAUGUAAUCAGGGACUUUAGUAGUUUUUGAGGCCAACUCGAUUCAACAAGGCUAUAAAUUAGGGCUGCACGAUAUUGGGGAAAAAAUGACAUUGCGAUAUUUAAUUUUUCUGCGAUAUACAUUACGAUAUUUUUUCUUACAAACAAAAAUCUCAUUGUAAAUGAUUUAAACAUCGACACCAUCAUGUCAAUUGAUUAAUAUGCGCGUGGGAGAGAGAGCAAGACGGCGCUCCUGUUGUUUGAAGACGGCUCUCUCUCUCUCUCUCUCUGUCUCGGUCUCUCUGUCUCUCUCUGUCUCUGUCUCUGUCUCUGUCUCUCUCGCGCGCGCGCUCUCUCUGCCCUGUUUAACUUGCAUGUGGUUUUCACUCCUGUCAAUGAUAAACUUUCACUCUAUGAUGGUUAAGCUGUGCAAUUAAUCCACGAAUCACAUUCGUCAAUCACGAAUCACGCAAAUCACGAGCAGCUGGCCCGUACAGUUAAUGAAUAACGGAUCAACUACGACAGCCUACAUCGCACAUCCUGCGAUGUGACUAUCGUGGAUUCGUACAUCACGAUAUCGAUGCUUUAACGACACAUCGUGCAGCCCUACUAUAAACUUUUUUGCCAUAAAUAUGCUAAUAAAUAGUGUACAGUAAGACCAGGUGUAUGUAUUAUGAGUACACAGAAAAAAAAUCUAGCACAAAUUGCAAGAAUAUUUCAAGUAAUUACAAAGAAACAGCAAGUAAUAGAGUGAUCUAAAUGUGAACAUUUGAAAAAGUAAGUUUUUUACAAAACAUUCUCCAAAAAUCUGUUCUAGUUACAAUUUUGAAAAAUUCUUAAUGGUCAUGUCUGAUCUCAUCUCAACUUUAAAUGAAAAUAAAUAAAUAAAAAUUAACACUGCAAAUAAAUAGACAGAUAACCAUCAAAUGUUUUCAUGCAUUAACAAGGCUGUCGAAAACCAAACAAAAUGAUGACGUUCUGGUAAAUGUCUUACAAACUUCUGGCAACUACUUUCCGUAAACCGUUUUGCUUCCCACAAAUAAACCACACUUCGCCAGAGCUGUUACCCACACACUUCUUAUAAUCAGUGCAAAUCAGACAUAGGCUAGUCAGUUACUGUAACGAAUGUGUAUGUACACAUACAUAGUCAACUCUCUCCUAUUUGUCAAGGAGUUCAAAGGGUCACCCGCACUGUACUUUUAAUCCCACUCCAUCACCUGAUGCUCACACCACUGAGCGCUAUAAAGGCCAGUUAUACACACUCCAGCUGUCAGCCAUGCUGAAAGCCCUAAUCAUUCACCUGCUACCGGCAUUUAAAAGCACAUAAGUGUGUCCAAGUCACAAGUGAGUAAUCACUGCCACCAGUCAGGUCUUUUCACUACUGUACACUCAGCCCAGAAUUGGUAAUCUGAUAUUAAAUUAGAAAAACAAAUAUGAAAAAUGAAAUUUUGUAAAGUUCAGAUCAAAGUAUUUCAGUCUAUGAUUUGGAGUAAAGAAUUGUGGUGGGGAAAUUUGCUGUUAUGUAAGGUAUAUAAGGUAUAGUUGACCCAAAAUUGAAAAUCCUGUCAUCAUUUGCUCACUCUCAUGUCUUUCCUAAUCUGUAUGACUUUCUUUCUUCUAUUAAAACACCAAAAUAAAUGCUAUUAUUUACUGCACACUGGUUGGUAUAGUCAGCUGGUUGACACUGAUGACAAGAAUAUUAGCUUAAGAUUAAUAUUUAUUUGUGGACACGUUAAUAUUUAGUUUUUAGAUAUUUAAACUAGAUAUGUGCAAAAACAUACUUUCAAAAGCUCCGUAUUUUUCCUGUAAUAUUUCCCUCAAAGGCAAAACAACGUCAAAAGCAAGGCAUAAAAAAAUAAUAAAAUAUAAAAUAAAACUGUGUCAGUCAUAGUUGUAGAAGUCGCAUUCAAACAAGUUUCAUCUUGAUUUGUUCCAAAAGAAUGAUCCAUUAAAAAAAGGAUAUACCUACUUCAAAAUUUGUCUAGUUUCUUAUAGUUAUGUUACAGCUUCAGAAGGCUUGAAAUAUAACACGCAAAGAAACAUGUUUGAAACUCUUAUGGUAUUUUUGCAACAUGAGGCUAUUCAAAAAAUGAAAUUUAAAAUGUAUCUUUUUGUACUAUACAUAAGGAAUAAAUGGAAGCAACUGGAAACAAUUAAAAUAGAUAACUGGAACAAAAUGAAUGAGUCAAUUAUGACCUACUUUAUUUUCUUAAAAAAAAAAAAAAAAAACUUUCACUUAAACUUUACGCAUCACUCAGGAUUGAGCAUUCUAAUGGCACCACGGCAUAAAAUAUUGCCCCACACCCAGAUUACAACUGAUGACUCAGCAUUCAACAGAACAGCUACUCAUCAGAACGGGAGAAAGACAGAGAGGCAUGAUUGUUAGAAGACGGGAUUGUGUCUUGUUUCAACAUGAAACUUGCCGAGCCGAAACCCAAUUUCCAACACGUCAGCUGAAACCAACUGAGUCAAACAUGCUUUCAUUCCACGUCUGACAAACACGGCCAUUCUCUCACACACAAACGGUGACUAACACGUUCUCACUUUUCUUUCAUUUCUUCCCUUCCUCUGCAGCGGGGACUACUUCACACCAUCUGAACACCCGCCCCCCGACACACACACACACACACACACACUCCCCAUCACUCUCUAUUUCUGUCUCUGUAUGUGUUCCGCUCAUUUCCUAAUGAAGUGUGUGAAGAGGGAGCCAUUAAACAUGUUCUAAACCAUGUUCAAACCCAUUAUUCAUGCUGCAUGUAAGAUUGCAUUUGACAUUUGACUGAGCAUCAGUUAUGUUUGACAGCUCUAUAAAUGAUACACAAAGGGCUUGCCUAGGCGAGCGUUACAAUUACUAUUGCUCAUACUCAGGGUUUGAUGUUCGACAAAUGCUGAACUCUAAGUAUUAAACUUCGUAAUCAGUCUUUUGAGAAGAAAGAUUGGACUUAGAAAGAAAGAAAGAAAUUGGCAUAGCAUGUUAAAAACUAAAAUACCAUAGAGACUUGAGGGUGGGACUAAGGUUAAUUUAAGUUUGUUUUGUAUUUUAAUAUUAAACUUAGUGUAAAAAUCAGUUCAGUUUCAGUUAGAUUUAACAAUGGAAUGUUAGUUUCAGAUUAGUCUUUAUUUCAUGUGAAUAAAAAGGCAAAGGUAAAAUUAAAUAGAAUAAAAUGUGUGAGUGAAUGAAGGAAUGAAUGAAUCACAAGUUUGGUGAACCUUUGACGGUUCCAAAUUUUCAUGUUGCGAUAAUUGCUAAUGUGUUUAGUGUACGCGAUAAGAAACGAAAGGAAAAUGUUCAGCAUUAUCUAAAAUAAGAACGAUAUUUGCACUUUGGAUUGGCAAAGGAACUUUUAUAUCCAAUCUGUUGCCAUUUAUUAUAGUGCAAAAUCCAAUUUCCCAACAAAACAGCCAUUGGAAAUGCUUUAGAGCCCAAAGGGGAAAAGAUUUUACAUAUUUCAGUGAUUUGACAGGAGGGUUGAAUUUUCGCCCAAUCCAGGAAGGCUGAAGGCGGGACAAAGUCUUGCUUGGCUGUGUGAUUUGCAGGCAGUUUGCAGCCUGUCAGGCACUAAUCGAGGGCAGCUUACAGGACUGAGUGCUUGGAUUAAACAGUCUAUCAUCAUCUGCAGGUAGGAUGUGUUAUGUCAUGCAGAGACAGAUCAGAUGUGAAAAUGAUGAAAUUAAAAUAUUUGAUGAAUAAUAGUCUUUAGUUUCACAUACUGGCUGCUUAGAUAAGGAGGUAUUAUAGGUCAGUAGGUCACAGAAAUCUCUUUCCUGCUGAAUCAUGUUGGAACAUUACAGAUUGAAACACUUUUGUGCACGUAGGCAUUAAAAUUAAUGUUGAAUAACAAGCAGAUGAGUAAAUAUGGAUAAUAAUGGAGCCGAACACACCCAGUGGGGCAUUUUAGUAAAAAAGAGAUAGAUUGUAAAAUCCUGUUUUCAUCACAAUCGAGGGUUUACCUAGAAACGUCCCACUGUCAGUGUCUGUAUCUAGUCAUUUUCUGUCUCUGACCAGCUGUGUGCCUUCCAUCUUCAGUCAGUCCAUUGUUCCUCUGCUGCAACAGGCCGCUUGUUUUUCAGUCGCCUGUUGUCGUGGGAGUGAGCGCAGUGCAGUUUGGAGUAGUACAAAAGGUUACAAGAGUGCAACCUUCAUAUGAGUAAGACAGCAGCUACAGGGACACGGCAAGACUGCAGAUGAAAGAGUGUGUGACUAUCAGAAAAUGUCGAAAUUACCCAGACUGGAACCCUUUUCCCCCAUCCUCCAGGAGAAGCUUGGUGCAGUUUGGAAAUGCUGAGACUUUAGGAUGCCAACUGCAGGCUGCAUGCAUCAAGAAAUCACUCAAUCACACUGAUCUCAUUUUCUUCAGAAUAUUUCUCUGUCCGGAGCCUCGCUGAUGUGUCACCGAAUGCCAUCUGAAAAAUCUGCAUGAUUUUUGCUGAAAUGGCAUUGAAGAUAUAGAUGGUUUUUUGGCCAAUGAAUUCCUGUUACUUUUCCAAUCAUUCAUGGUAAAGGAUUUAAAAAAAUAUA